CACAGACUGUGAGGAAAGACUUAGCUAAAACAAGGACAUGAACUUUGUCCCAUGGAGUGACAGGCUGAUAUGACUAUGCCAGGCACCUGAAAAGGACAAGCAUUUAAGGGUCAGAGACAGAGCCACAGCUGCCGCGAAGCCCUCCUAUCCCAAUCCAGCCUGUGGGGGUUUCCAGCCUGUGGGGGUUUCCUCCCCCAUAGUACAGAAUGGAACUUCCUGUACCCUCACUCAAAAACAUAGGAAGAGCACAGCAUAAUGGUUAAGACUUCAGGCUGUUGCUUAGGCUUCUGGAUUCAAGUUCAUCACUUACUGGCCCUGGGAAGACUGUCGAUUCAAUUCAGCGCAUACUCAUCACUUACUAUAGACGAGGCAGUUUGAAGAAAUGCAAAGCUGAACUUCAAACCAGUGGAAGAGAAAAUAGCAGCAUCUGCUGGCUUCCUGCUGAACAUCUUCCCUUGGUGUACAUGCAUCUCCAAACCAAACCAUCCAGAGCAGAAGUCAUCUUUUGACCCCAGACACCCCCACCUAGCGUUCCUAUUCUACUCUGCCUCCUGUGGCCACCACCUUGACACUGAAAAAGUCCUCCAA